rnacentral:rRNA from 1 species
CAUAAUCUCUGAGGAGAAAAGCAGGGGCUCUUAGGACCUUGUGCUUUUGGAGCGGCCGAUGCCUGAUUAGCUAGUUGGUGGGGUAAAGGCCUACCAAGGCUUCGAUCAGUAGUUGGUCUGAGAGGACGACCAGCCACACUGGGACUGAGACACGGCCCAGACUCCUACGGGAGGCAGCAGUGGGGAAUUUUGGACAAUGGGGGCAACCCUGAUCCAGCCAUGCCGCGUGAGUGAAGAAGGCCUUCGGGUUGUAAAGCUCUUUCAGUCGGGAAGAAAAGGUUACGGCUAAUACCCGUAAUUCAUGACGGUACCGACAGAAGAAG